rnacentral:rRNA from 1 species
GACGAACGCUGGCGGCAUGCCUAAUACAUGCAAGUCGGGCGGACUUGAAGAGAAGCUUGCUUCUCUGAUGGUUAGCGGCGGACGGGUGAGCAACACGUAGGCAACCUGCCCUCAAGCUUGGGAGACCUACCGGAAACGGUAGCUAAUACCGAAUACUUGUUUUCUUCGCCUGAAGGAAACUGGAAAGACGGAGCAAUCUGUCACUUGGGGAUGGGCCUGCGGCGACGUAGCUAGUUGGGGGGGGAACGGCUCACCAAGGCGACGGGGCGUAGCCGACCUGGGAGGGUGAUCGGCCACGCUGGGACUGACGCACGGCCCAGACUCCUACGGGAGGCAGCGGUAGGGCAUCUACCGCAAUGGGCGAAAGCCUGACGUAGCAAUUCCGCGUGAGUGAUGAAGGUUUUCGGAUCGUAAAGCUCUGUUGCCAGGGAAGAACGCUUGGGAUAGUAACGGCUCCCAAGGUGACGGUACCUGAGAAGAAAGCCCCGGCUAACUACGUGCCAGCAGCCGCCGUAA